rnacentral:rRNA from 1 species
UACGGAGGGUGCAAGCGUUGUCCGGAAUCACUGGGCGUAAAGGGCGCGUAGGCGGCUCGGUAAGUAGGGGGUGAAAUCCUGCGGCUUAACCGCAGGGCUGCCUUCUAAACUGUCGAGCUCGAGCACGGUAGAGGCAGAUGGAAUUCCCGGUGUAGCGGUGGAAUGCGUAGAGAUCGGGAAGAACAUCAGUGGCGAAGGCGGCUCACUGGCCCGGAACUGACGCUGAGACGCGAAAGCGUGGGGAGCAAACAGG